rnacentral:rRNA from 1 species
UACGGGGGGAGCAAGCGUUGUUCGGAUUUACUGGGCGUAAAGGGCGCGUAGGCGGUCAGCACAAGUCAGUUGUGAAAUCUCCGGGCUUAACUCGGAAAGGUCAACUGAUACUGUGCGACUAGAGUGCAGAAGGGGCAACUGGAAUUCUCGGUGUAGCGGUGAAAUGCGUAGAUAUCGAGAGGAACACCUGCGGCGAAGGCGGGUUGCUGGGCUGACACUGACGCUGAGGCGCGAGAGCCAGGGGAGCGAACGGG